ensembl:snRNA U6 U6 spliceosomal RNA
GGGCUCACUUCAGCAGCAGACAUACUAAAAUUGGAAUGAUACAGAUAAGAUUACCAUGGGUCUUGGGCAAGGAUGACACACAAAUCCGUGAAGCACUCGAUAUUUUU